GUAGUUAGCUGUGGCGCUAGGCAGGGCCCCAGGACACAGGGAACGGAAGGAACAAUGUGAACUCACACCUGGGCAAUCCCUGCUCUCUCUGGGCCUCAGUUUCCCCACCUGUCCAGUGGGCACCUGGACUAGGUGACCCGGCUCAGAUGUCCUCUUGAGUCUUAGAUCCUGAAAUGCUGCCUAAUGUGUGGCCUAAGCUGUGCCCACCCUGGGACAGCCCAGCUGGGUGGGUGACUCUGAGCCUUGCGGUAGCGCCCGAACCUAAUGGACCAGUUCUUCCCACAGGGGCAAGCAUGGCGUGGGCCGUAUUGACAUCGUGGAGAACCGCUUCAUUGGAAUGAAGUCCCGAGGUGAGUCUGC
rnacentral:lncRNA from 10 species